rnacentral:tRNA from 1 species
UUAAAAAAUCCGUCGACUUUAAAAAUCGUGAGGGUUCAAGUCCCUCUGUCCCCA